GAUGAACGCUGACAGAAUGCUUAACACAUGCAAGUCGAUGGGGAAGUGGUGCUUGCACCAUGGCAACCAUGGCGGACGGGUGAGUAACGCGUAAGGGACUUACCUGCAGGACUGGGAUAACAGGGGGAAACUCCUGACAAGACCGGAUAAUGUCAUGGAGCUGCAUGGCUUUAUGAUGAAAGGAGACGCCUGCGGAGAGCCUUGCGUCCUAUUAGCUAGUUGGUGAGGUAAUGGCUCACCAAGGCGAAGAUAGGUAGCCGGCCUGAGAGGGUGGACGGCCACAAGGGGACUGUGAUACGGCCCUUACUCCUACGGGAGGCAGCAGUGGGGAAUAUUGGACAAUGGGGGCAACCCUGAUCCAGCAAUUCUGUGUGCACGAAGAAGGUUUUCGGAUUGUAAAGUGCUUUCAGCAGGGAAGAAGUAAGUGACGGUACCUGCAGAAGAAGCGACGGCUAAAUACGUG
rnacentral:rRNA from 1 species